rnacentral:snRNA from 1 species
AUCGCUUCUCAGCCUUUUGGCUAAGAUCAAGUGUAGUAAAUUCCUAUAUGCCCAAGGAAAGCAUGUUGACUUUACCUGAGUCAAAAUUAGGAAUGCAUUUAGGUGCAGGUGAAUAAUAAAGCAAAAUUCCUAUUUUGUCUAGUUUACGUUUUAGUGACAAAAAAGCCAU